GAUGAACGCUGGCGGCGUGCUUAACACAUGCAAGUCGAACGGACAGGCCCAAGCUUGCUUGGGUACUCGAGUGGCGAACGGGUGUGUAUCACGUGGGUGAUCUGCCCUGCACUUCGGGAUAAGCCUGGGAAACUGGGUCUAAUACCGGAUAGGACCAGUUCUUGGAUGUUGUGGUGGAAAGUUAUGUCGGUGUGGGAUGAGUUCGCGGCCUAUCAGCUUGUUGGUGGGGUGAUGGCCUACCAAGGCGUCGGCGGGUAGCCGGCCUGAGAGAGUGUACGGCGAUAUUGGGACUGAGGGACGGCCCAGACUGCGACGGGAGGGAGCAGUGGGGAAUAUUGAACAAGGGGCGCAAGCCUGAUGCAGCGACGCCGCGUGGGGGAUGACGGCCUUCGGGUUGUAAACUCCUUGCGCUAGGGACGAAGCGUUUUGUGACGGUACCUGGAGAAGAAGCACCGGCUAACUACGUG
rnacentral:rRNA from 1 species